rnacentral:rRNA from 2 species
AAAAAAGGUAAGCUACUAAGAGCGAAUGGUGGAUGCCUUGACUGGUAAAGGCGAUGAAGGACGUACUAGACUGCGAUAAGCUACGGGGAGCUGUCAAGAAGCUUUGAUCCGUAGAUUUCCGAAUGGGGCAACCCAAUGUAUAGAGAUAUACAUUACCUAUAUAGGAGCGAACGAGGGGAAUUGAAACAUCUUAGUACCCUCAGGAAAAGAAAUCAAUAGAGAUUGCGUCAGUAGCGGCGAGCGAAAGCGCAAGAGGGCAAACCCAGUGCUUGCACUGGGGGUUGUAGGACUGCAAUGUGCAAGAGGUAAGUUUAGCAGAACAUUCUGGAAAGUAUAACCAUAGAGGGUGAUAGUCCCGUAUGCGAAAAACAAACCUUAGCUAGCAGUAUCCUGAGUAGGGCGGGACACGAGGAAUCCUGUCUGAAUCUGGGUCGACCACGAUCCAACCCUAAAUACUAAUACCAGAUCGAUAGUGCACAAGUACCGUGAGGGAAAGGUGAAAAGAACUGAGGUGAUCAGAGUGAAAUAGAACCUGAAACCAUUUGCUUACAAUCAUUCAGAGCCCUAUGUAGCAAUACAGGGUGAUGGACUGCCUUUUGCAUAAUGAGCCUGCGAGUUGUGGUGUCUGGCAAGGUUAAGCAAACGCGAAGCCGUAGCGAAAGCGAGUCUGAAUAGGGCGCUUAGUCAGAUGCUGCAGACCCGAAACGAAGUGAUCUAUCCAUGAGCAAGUUGAAGCUAGUGUAAGAACUAGUGGAGGACUGAACCCAUAGGCGUUGAAAAGCCCCGGGAUGACUUGUGGAUAGGGGUGAAAGGCCAAUCAAACUUCGUGAUAGCUGGUUCUCUCCGAAAUAUAUUUAGGUAUAGCGUUGUGUCGUAAUAUAAGGGGGUAGAGCACUGAAUGGGCUAGGGCAUACACCAAUGUACCAAACCCUAUCAAACUCCGAAUACCUUAUAUGUAAUCACAGCAGUCAGGCGGCGAGUGAUAAAAUCCGUCGUCAAGAGGGAAACAACCCAGACUACCAGCUAAGGUCCCUAAAUCUUACUUAAGUGGAAAACGAUGUGAAGUUACUUAAACAACCAGGAGGUUGGCUUAGAAGCAGCCAUCCUUUAAAGAAAGCGUAAUAGCUCACUGGUCUAGUGAUUUUGCGCGGAAAAUAUAACGGGGCUAAAGUAAGUACCGAAGCUGUAGACUUAGUUUACUAAGUGGUAGGAGAGCGUUCUAUUUGCGUCGAAGGUAUACCGGUAAGGAGUGCUG